UGGGGAAUAUUGCACAAUGGGCGAAAGCCUGAUGCAGCAACGCCGCGUGAGUGAUGAAGGCCUUCGGGUUGUAAAGCUCUGUCUUCUGGGACGAUAAUGACGGUACCAGAGGAGGAAGCCACGGCUAACUACGUGCCAGCAGCCGCGGUAAUACGUAGGUGGCAAGCGUUGUCCGGAUUUACUGGGCGUAAAGGAUGCGUAGGCGGAUACUUAAGUCAGAUGUGAAAAUCCCGGGCUUAACUCGGGAACUGCAUUUGAAACUGGGUAUCUAGAGUGCGGGAGAGGAAAGUGGAAUUCCUAGUGUAGCGGUGAAAUGCGUAGAGAUUAGGAAGAACACCAGUGGCGAAGGCGACUUUCUGGACCGUAACUGACGCUGAGGCAUGAAAGCGUGGGGAGCAAACA
rnacentral:rRNA from 1 species